UACGUAGGGUGCGAGCGUUAAUCGGAAUUACUGGGCGUAAAGCGUGCGCAGGCGGUUUUGUAAGUCUGACGUGAAAUCCCCGGGCUUAACCUGGGAAUUGCGUUGGAGACUGCAAGGCUGGAGUCUGGCAGAGGGGGGGUAGAAUUCCACGUGUAGCAGUGAAAUGCGUAGAGAUGUGGAGGAACACCGAUGGCGAAGGCAGCCCCCUGGGUCAAGACUGACGCUCAUGCACGAAAGCGUGGGGAGCAAACAGGAUAGAGUACCCUAAGUA
rnacentral:rRNA from 1 species